rnacentral:rRNA from 1 species
GAUGAACGCUGGCGGCGUGCCUAACACAUGCAAGUCGAACGGAAGGACGAUAAGUUUGCUUCGCUGGUGUGAGCGGCGCGCGGGUGUGAAACAUGUGUAUAACCUACCUCUAUGACGGGGAAAACCUCGUGAAACGGUAGCUUAUAACCGAAAAUAUCCUGAAGCGGAUGGUGGGAGAGUGAAAGACGGCAUUGCUGUCACGUAUCGAUGGUUCCGCGCUGCAUUAGCUAGUUGGUAAGGUAACGGCCUACCAAGGCAACGAUGCGUAGCCGAACUGAGAGGGUGAUCGGCCACACUGGAACUGAGACACGGUCCAGACUCCUACGGGAGGCAGCAGUAGGGAAUCUUCGGCAAUGGGCGAAAGCCUGACGCAGCAACGCCGCGUGUGUGAUGAAGGCCUUCGGAUCGUAAAACUCUGUUAUUCGGGAAGAACACAUGUGUACUUAAAUGAGGAGUGCUUGACGGUACCGGAUCAAAAAGCACCGGCUAACUACGUG